UGGUGGAUGCCUUGGCGUCAAGAGGCGAUGAAAGACGUGGCACUCUGCGAUAAGCUACGGUGAGCCGAGAGCAGGCUUUGACCCGUAGAUUUCUGAAUGGGGAAACCCCACCCAAUAGGGUGAUCGUGUCGUGAAUACAUAGCGGCACGAGGCGAACCCGGGGAACUGAAACAUCUCAGUACCCGGAGGAAAGGACAUCAACCGAGACUCCGCUAGUAGUGGCGAGCGAACGCGGACCAGGCCAGUGGCUUGCAUUUAAGAACCGGAACCGUCUGGAAAGUCGGGCAUUAGUGGGUGAUAGCCCCGUACGGGUAGAAAUUAUGCAAGUCCUCGAGUAGGGCGGGACACGUGAAAUCCUGUCUGAACGUGGGG
rnacentral:rRNA from 1 species